UUAUUGAAAAACUAGAGAAAAUCUCUAUGUUAAGAACAACUUUAAUGAAGUCAAAAUUCCUAUUCAAGGAUGUGUUAAUGAUUUAACAGUGCAUCCUUGUGUUAAAGGAUCCUGAAAUUAUGUAAUUAUGACAUUGCGUCUAUGUAAUCUAUGAUAUUAAGGUGUGGAUCAAGUUUUUAAAUUGUGUGUGUAUUCUAAUGACAAUUUGCUUACAUCAUUUUAAAAAAUGUGUAUAUAUUAUUUUAUUUAGGAUCUGAAGUUUAUUUAGGACAAUGUUCUAAAGUUUAGUCACAGCUUAAAAAUAUUCGGUGAGGUUCCCUGCCUUAAUUUUCCCAACUGUAGAAUGGAUCAGUAGUAAAGUGUGCAUGCAUUAUAGACUAUGUAACUCAUGUAUGUGAUUUGAACUCCUUGGGAAAUUGUGAUUUCAUAAAUGGAAAAUACAUACAGAUUUAAGCAAUACUUAUAAAACUUUCUUAAAAAGUAUGUUUACAUAUCAUCUAUGUGCAUGGUUUUACUACUUUUCCUAAAAGCAUACCAUAUAUUUCUGUAUAUUUGAUAAAUAUUUCCCUUUUUAAGUUGCAUCUUUAGACUAUUUCAUAAGUGUACAUUUAUAUCUUCAUACAUGAACGAAUAUGUACAUAUCAUUGAAAUGGGUAUAAGCUUCCUGUUGUGAAAGUUUUUAGAAUUAUAAAUCCACAUGUGUUGUCAGAUUUCUUCUGUAUAUCUUCUUUGAAUUCUCUGAAAGAAUAAAAUCUUU
rnacentral:lncRNA from 1 species